UCCUCCACACAGACCCACCCACCCCAUUAAAAGAUGAAGGGUGCAAUGUCACAUACUCAAAAAAGUUAGGAAAUACCAGAAUUAAGGUUCCCUAGCCAACCUUAAUUCGGCCUCCUUGCACAUGUGCAUUAUGGUAGUAUGUGUUCAUGUAAUUAAAGACUAUUUUUUCCACAGGAUAGAGUUGCUCUGGGAAUGAAUCAGAGUUGCAUAGUGAAUCUAAGAGCCCCUGCCUCAUUUGUUGCAGAAGUUGGAAGGAGUGUGAUGAAUAAGGUAGGGAUUGCAGGAAGAGAAAGGAAGUUGAAUGCUGCCCUGGAGCACUGGAUUUUAUCUCUGCCUCUGCUACAGAGUUCUAAUGUGAUGCUGGCAAGUCGUUUAAACCAAACUUUUCACACAUGGUUACUUACUGUGUGUUCUUCAGUAGCUUGGUGUUCAACCUGAAGUCUGAGAUACAGAAGAGCUGAGCACCCACAACUGCAACUGAAAUCAAUGUGAGCUGGGCUUUGAACAUAUUAUGAAUGGAUCAAAACUUGUGCAAGGACUGAAAAGCAAAUUAUG